rnacentral:tRNA from 1 species
AGAGAACUAGCAUAAUUGAUUUAAUGCAAUUAAUUUGAGAUUAAUGAUAAUAUGAGUUUGAGUCUCAUGUUCUCUU